rnacentral:ncRNA from 1 species
GGCGGGGCGCCUGCGGAUACAAGACCCGCAAGGGGAAGAAGCAGGGUCCGUCUCAGGCCGGAUUUCCAACGCUCCCGCCGCCAGGGA